rnacentral:lncRNA from 1 species
CCCUCCUGCCUGCAGCGCGCGCCGCACUUCCGGCGGGUCCGCCCACUUCCCAUGCAGGAGGAAGGGUGAGGGAGCCAGGGUGGUAGAGAAUGUCGUGAAAUACAGACUCUAGAGCAAAGUUAUUCAAGGUCGUGGGCUGGAGGAGGCCUUUUGGCUCGGACCUGAGCAGAAGCUUUGUAGCAGAGCAAUAUGCUGCUAUUCUACAGAACACUACGCCAGUUUCCUUCACUGAAGGGGUUUUCUGGAAAUUAAGGCAGUGUUCUUGGACAAAAAAAUCUAAAACCACUUUAUAACCAGACUUCACCUUCACCUUUUGUAGUGUAAGUAGUUGGAACUGUUAUCCUGAGAAUUGUACUAAAACUGAGACAAUCAAACUCCCAUUAAGGCAUUUUGUUGUAUUAGUCUUGCCAGACUGAACUUGAUCUCAAACUUUGUUAGAGUAUAUGUAUUGACAUAUUUGUACAUAAUAUACAUAAUGUUUGGUUGUCUUAGUAGUAAUUCCCUUGAUAUGUGCCUUUGACAGAUGUGCUAAUCUAUAUAAAACAAGUCAGUACCAGCCUCCUUUAACAGGUAGUUCUGGAUGACUUAGCCUUAUAAGAAAAUAUUGUUGGUCAUUCUUCCCUCAUUCCUGCUUUGCUCCAUUCCAGUAUUUGCUUAACUUUUGACCUCUAAUUUCUACUUCUGUCUGGGGCCCUCCCUACCCUCAUCUUUUGGCUAAAAGAGAGAUAUGGCUUUUUUUCUUUUACCAUUUUUUGAUACUUUUUGCAAAGCAUGAUUUCCCACCAAUCCUAUGUCUUUACUGGGUUUAGAUAUAUAGUUGGGUAAUUGCCCUACUGAGACUUCUGUAUUUGCAUGCUAGAACUCUAACACCAAUUUUGGCUUUGUUUUGGUAUUCCCAGACAUGCCCUAGACUCAUGGGGAAGUGCAGAUAAAACUGAAUUAGUCAUCUAAAAUUUGGCACAAGCAAAGAGUCUCUACUCACUGAUCUAAAACCUCAGUGAUCAUUUUUAUGCUUGAUAAUGAUGGACUCAGAGAAAAAGCUUUUGAUUAGGUUGUAACUUUUGAUAGCAUAAGAAUUAGAGGAUAGUCUGCUUCAAUGGAAGUAAAUACAGUUGACCCUUGAACGAUGCGGGUUUGAACUGUGUGGUUCCCAC